rnacentral:rRNA from 1 species
CCUACGGGGUGCAGCAGUCGCGAAAACUUUGCAAUACACGAAAGUGUGACAGGGUCAUCCCGAGUGCCGACCGCUGAGGUUGGCUUUUACCCAGUCUAGAAAGCUGGGGGAAUAAGGAGAGGGCAAGUCUGGUGUCAGCCGCCGCGGUAAUACCAGCUCUCCGAGUGGUGUGGACGUUUAUUGGGCCUAAAGCAUCCGUAGCUGGCUGAACAAGUCCCCUGUUAAACCCACCGAUUUAAUCGUUGGUGUGCGGGGGAUACUGCUCGGCUAGGGGACGAGAGAGGCAGACGGUAUUCCCGGGGUAGGGGUGAAAUCCUAUAAUCCCGAGAAGACCACCAGUGGCGAAGGCUGUCUGCUAGAACGCGCCCGACGGUGAGGGAUGAAAGCUGGGGGAGCGAACCGGAUUAGAUACCCCUGUAGUCC